UACGAAGGGGGCUAGCGUUGCUCGGAAUCACUGGGCGUAAAGCGCACGUAGGCGGCUUUUUAAGUCAGGGGUGAAAUCCUGGAGCUCAACUCCAGAACUGCCUUUGAUACUGAGAAGCUUGAGUCCGGGAGAGGUGAGUGGAACUGCGAGUGUAGAGGUGAAAUUCGUAGAUAUUCGCAAGAACACCAGUGGCGAAGGCGGCUCCCUGGCCUGGUACUGACGCUGAGGUGCGAAAGCGUGGGGAGCAAACAGG
rnacentral:rRNA from 1 species